CUACGGGUUGCAGCAGUGAGGAAUAUUGCACAAUGGGGGGAACCCUGAUGCAGCAACGCCGCGUGGAGGAUGACGCAUUUCGGUGUGUAAACUCCUUUUAUAUGUCAAGAAAAUGACGGUAGCAUAUGAAUAAGCACCGGCCAACUCCGUGCCAGCAGCCGCGGUAAUACGGAGGGUGCAAGCGUUACUCGGAAUCACUGGGCGUAAAGGACGCGUAGGCGGGUUGGAAAGUCAGGUGUGAAAUCCUACAGCUUAACUGUAGAACUGCACUUGAAACUUCUAAUCUAGAGUAUGGGAGGGGGAGAUGGAAUUAGUGGUGUAGGGGUAAAAUCCGUAGAUAUCACUAGGAAUACCUAAAGCGAAGGCGAUCUCCUGGAACAUUACUGACGCUAAGGCGUGAAGGCGUGGGGAGCAAACAGGAUUAGAUACCCGGGUAGUC
rnacentral:rRNA from 1 species